UACGGAGGGUGCAAGCGUUAAUCGGAAUAACUGGGCGUAAAGCGCACGCAGGCGGUUGGAUAAGCGAGAUGUGAAAGCCCCGGGCUCAACCUGGGAACUGCAUUUGAAACUGUCUGACUAGAGUCUUGUAGAGGGGGGUAGAAUUCCAGGUGUAGCGGUGAAAUGCGUAGAUAUACGGAGGAACACCAGUGGCGAAGGCGGCCUGCUGGACAAAGACUGACGCUCAGGUGCGAAAGCGUGGGGAGCAAAC
rnacentral:rRNA from 1 species